rnacentral:other from 1 species
ACAGGAUUGAUUUUAACUUUUUGUUUUAUCACGAAGGUUUAAUCCCCUCUGUCAACGUAUGUAACGAAUUGCUGUGUGUAGUCUUUGCCCGUCAUCUGUGAUGGGCUUUUUUUUUA